rnacentral:rRNA from 1 species
CCUACGGGAGGCUGCAGUGGGGAAUAUUGGACAAUGGGCGAAAGCCUGAUCCAGCCAUGCCGCGUGUGUGAAGAAGGCCUUCGGGUUGUAAAGCACUUUCAGUGGCGAAGAAAGCCUUGGGGCUAAUACCCUCGAGGAAGGACAUCACCCACAGAAGAAGCACCGGCUAACUCCGUGCCAGCAGCCGCGGUAAUACGGAGGGUGCGAGCGUUAAUCGGAAUUACUGGGCGUAAAGCGCGCGUAGGCGGUCUGAUAAGCCGGUUGUGAAAGCCCCGGGCUCAACCUGGGAACGGCAUCCGGAACUGUCAGGCUAGAGUGCAGGAGAGGAAGGUAGAAUUCCCGGUGUAGCGGUGAAAUGCGUAGAGAUCGGGAGGAAUACCAGUGGCGAAGGCGGCCUUCUGGACUGACACUGACGCUGAGGUGCGAAAGCGUGGGUAGCAAACAGGAUUAGAUACCCUAGUAGUC